rnacentral:rRNA from 1 species
GACGAAGGUGGCGACCGUUGUUCGGAAUCACUGGGCAUAAAGCGCGCGUAGGCGGUCCUGAAAGUCGGGUGUGAAAUCCCUCGGCCCAACCGAGGAACUGCGCCCGAAACUACAGGGCUUGAGGGCAGGAGGGGAGCGUGGAAUUCCCGGUGGAGCGGUGAAAUGCGUUGAUAUCGGGAGGAACACCGGCGGCGAAGGCGACGCUCUGGUCUGCUACUGACGCUGAUGCGCGAAAGCUAGGGGAGCAAACGGG